GGGUAGCGAGAGUCUAGAUCCUCCCUCAGCCUGAGAGACUGCUGGUGCUACAGGAAAUGUGCCAGUCUGAGCUACGCUCUCCAUAAGGCACUAGACGGACCAAAGCAUCCUGAAGUACCGAGGUGGCGAUGAACCCCUCGGGAACCUGAGCUGGCCCUGCCGGAAUGGUCUGACCCGGAACCUCAUCAUGGAACUCCACCUGAGGCUCCGUUACUGGUGUUGCUGCUCGAGCUCUAGCCUGAGCCCUGCCCCUACCUCGGCCUCUGGCACGGCCUCAGCCUCUGCCCCUCGUAGGAGCUUCCACUGGGGGCUUGAGCUACUGAUCAGUUGAUAAAGAGGUACGUGUUCUCGCCACCUGCAAAAGAACAAGAGUAUAAAGUUCGAUUAGCAUUGAGAAAUCAAAUCGCACGACAGAGAAGAAUAGAAGUGAAGUUGUUCCUAAGCUCUAUAACUUCUAACGGAUAAGCACAGACGUCUCCAUACCGAUCCCUCGGACUCUACCUAGCUUGUUCGUGAAUUGUGAAACCUAUACAACUUAGUACUCUGAUACCAACUUGUCACGACCUGGAUAUCCCUACCGUCAGGAUCGUGAUGGCGCCUAACUCUUCGAAAUGCUAGGCAAUCCAACACAUAAAGAUCUAAUAUGCUAACCGCUAUCCAAAACAGUAAAUAACAAUAAUUAAGCCAAAACGAAGUGAAGAAGAGCAAAAAAUUUAUAAUAAUUCAAAAAUUACUGCACGAUUAUCCAAAAAUCUGCUCUCGCAAUCCACGAACUUCUAAGAGUCACUACAAAUACUAGUUUUAAGAAAAUACAUUUGUUCUCGAAAUAAAAGAAAACAGGGAAACUAGGAUAACUGGAAGAGGACUCAAGGGUUUGCGAACGCCGGCAAAUCUACCUUGGGUCUCCUAUGGACUGAAGGCAGCGAACCAACUCUAAUCAAUGCGGUCCAAUACCAGAAUCUGCACAAAAAAUGCAGGGUACAGUAUCCGUACAACCGACCCCAUGUACUGGUAAGUGUCUAGCCUAACCUCGGUGAAGUAAAGACAAGGCUAGGACACGACAAUAACAUGAACUUGUGCAGUUAAAUCAUAUAUGAGAAGAUAACAACAAAUGGAAAUUUAACAGAUAUUAACGGGAAGGUGGAGAAACAUGCUGAGGGGAAUAUCAAUUCUUGAAAUAGUACAAUAAAGAAACGCAGUAAAUAACAUGCCUUACACCUAUGAAAGUAAUAAAACGGCAAACAAGUGUGUGGCAUCACCCUUCGUGUUUUUACUAUCAUUCUCACCAUAAGAAGCAACAGAAACGGCAUGACAUCACCCUUCGUGCAUUAGCUCGCUCAUAACAUGGCAUGACAUCGCCCUUCGUGCAUUAACUCUCUCAUAAAAUACGGCACGGCAUCGCCCUUCGAGCAUUAUCACUCACAGAAUAUGGCACGGCAUCACCCAUCGUGCAUUAUCACUCACAAUACAUUGCACAGUAUCACCCUUCGUGUUUUACACUCUUCCUCACCCAAACAACAGAACAAUAACAACCCGACAAUGGAAUUAUCAAUAACCAACCUCGUUUCAAUAUUUAACUUUCACAAUAUAAAUCUCAACUUUAGUCAAUACUCAACCAAUAUCUAAUUCCACGAAAAACAUGAUAAGAUUUGUUUAACAUGAAGAAUAACCAGUUUAAGCAUGAACAGUACAAAUAAAGAAUACAACAGUCACAAGUAAUAGACUCACUCGCAUGCUAUGACUCGAUGACAACGUAUACGUACUCCUCACCUCACCUAUAUGUCGUACUCAACAACCAAACACAUAGCAAAUAAGGCAACAACACUUAAUCCCUCAAGCUAAGGUUAGCCACAACACUUACCUCGAUUCCACGACCGAACUCAAGCCUCUAUCACUGUUUUCCCUUAGUUUCCACCUCUGAACCACUCGUAUCUAGUCAUAAUUAACUUUAUAAUAUCAAUUAUCGCUAAAGAAAGCAAUCCCAAUGCACAAUUACAAGCUUCCCAACAUUUUUCCCAAAAAGUCAAAAACCGACCUCGGGCCCGC
rnacentral:lncRNA from 1 species